rnacentral:misc_RNA from 1 species
UUUCCGUAGGUGAACCUGCGGAAGGAUCAUUCAUAAUAAAGUGUUUUAUGGCACUUUUUAAAAAUCCAUAUCCACCUUGUGUGCAAUGUUAGAUCUCGUCAAUCUUGGCGAGAUUUUUAUACAUCAACUCAUUCUUUAACUAAUUGUCUGAAAAAUAUUAUGAAUACUUAAUUCAAAAUACAACUUUCAACAACGGAUCUCUUGGCUCUC